GACGAACGCUGGCGGCGUGCUUAACACGUGCAAGUCGAACGGAAAGGCCCUGCUUUUGUGGGGUGCUCGAGUGGCGAACGGGGGAGUAACACGUGAGUAACCUGCCCUUGACUUUGGGAUAACUUCAGGAAACUGGGGCUAAUACCGGAGAGGAGCUCCUGCUGCAUGGGGGGGGAUGGAAAGUUUCGGCGGUGGUGGAUGGACUCGCGGCAUAUCAGCUUGUUGGUGGGGUAGUGGCUUACCAAGGUUUUGACGGGUAGCCGGCCUGAGAGGGUGACCGGCCACCUUGGGUCUUAGGUGCGGCCCCGACUCCUACGGUAGGCCACAGUGGGGAAUCUUGCCCAAUCGGCGGCGGCCUGAUGCAGCAACGCCUCGUGCGGUAUGACGGCCUUCGGGUUGUAAACCGCAUUCGCAUGUGACGAAGCGUGAGUGACGGUAAUGGGUAAAGAAGCACCCGCUUACUACGGUC
rnacentral:rRNA from 1 species